GGCUAGUGCUAGUUAUCAAAUUUGACCUCCCCUAUAUCAUGCAGGAAGGUACAUGUACAUGGAUGUUUAAAAAAUUCCACAAAUGGUGAAGAAAAUGGCAAGGGAAGACGCCUGGUAAAUGUUUCAAGUAAAAUUCAGCAAUUGAGUUUCUGGAAAGCCAAGCAUACAUAACCAAAGGAUAUUUUCAUAGAAUGGACUUCUGUAGGCCAAAAAAAUAAAGACAAUGUCAAGAAGAGUGACAUUUAGAAGAAAGAACAUUCAAUUGAUAAUGUUAUUAUGUCAACAACAAAAACAUAAAAAGUUGAUUGUAACGUUUUGAGAAUGCUGUAAAAAAAAGUAGAGUGAAAUCAAAA